rnacentral:rRNA from 1 species
UACAGAGGUGGCAAGCGUUGUUCGGAUUUAUUGGGCGUAAAGGGUCCGUAGGCGGUUCGGAAAGUCAGAUGUGAAAGCCCACAGCUCAACUGUGGAACUGCAUUUGAAACUUCCGAACUAGAGUGUGAGAGGGGUAAAGGGAAUUCCCGGUGUAAGGGUGAAAUCUGCAGAGAUCGGGAGGAACACCAGUAGCGAAGGCGCUUUACUGGCUCACAACUGACGCUCAGGGACGAAAGCUAGGGUAGCAAACGGG